UACCUGCCAUGCCAUAAACGGGUUCUUUGAUCGCUGAAGUGUGGUCGGCGUUGAGCAACGUGACUCUAUAGACAGGUCACAAAUGAAGAGAUUUCCGCUUCGAAGGGCAGAUGGCCCAUUUCGUGAUUGGUCACCAAUACAUUGUUCACCCACUACACAAAAAUACAUGAACGACAUGUGCAGCUUACAAUUUACUGAAUUUUAGGAAAGUCUCAAAAGAUCGCUUUGGAAUUGAAAAACUUAGAGUGACAGAUGCUUACUACUUGUGCGAGAUAAUGGAC